AUGGGUGUUUCCCUUUUCGCCAGCUAUUCCAGAGUGUGUAGGCCGGAAUCAGGCAAUGGCAUGACACGUGAGGGAGCACUACCUUUGGUUGUUUGUUUUUUCCUCUCUGUUGCUUUGAAUACUAAGUUCUCUUUAUGGUUUCCAAAUGCCGUAAGUUUCGAGUCCUUGCCUAGCUGAAGAAGGAGAAAGAAACAAAGGAAAAUAUUAAUGGGCGAAUUUUUGCUUAGUCAUUGCACAUUUUCUGUUGUUGCGUCUAUUGUUUCGGGGGAUGGGAACAUCUGGA
rnacentral:misc_RNA from 1 species